GGGUUGUGAGGUUAAGCGACUAAGCGUACACGGUGGAUGCCCUGGCAGUCAGAGGCGAUGAAGGGCGUACUAAUCUGCGAUAAGCGCCGGUAAGGUGAUAUGAACCGUUAUAACCGGCGAUACCCGAAUGGGGAAACCCAGUGUGAUUCGUCACACUAUCAUUAACUGAAUCCAUAGGUUAAUGAGGCGAACCGGGGGAACUGAAACAUCUAAGUACCCCGAGGAAAAGAAAUCAACCGAGAUUCCCCCAGUAGCGGCGAGCGAACGGGGAGGAGCCCAGAGCCUGAAUCAGCAUGUGUGUUAGUGGAAGCGUCUGGAAAGGCGCGCGAUACAGGGUGACAGCCCCGUACACAAAAGCGCAUGUGCUGUGAGCUCGAUGAGUAGGGCGGGACACGUGGUAUCCUGUCUGAAUAUGGGGGGACCAUCCUCCAAGGCUAAAUACUCCUGACUGACCGAUAGUGAACCAGUACCGUGAGGGAAAGGCGAAAAGAACCCCGGCGAGGGGAGUGAAAAAGAACCUGAAACCGUGUACGUACAAGCAGUGGGAGCACCCUUUGGGUGUGACUGCGUACCUUUUGUAUAAUGGGUCAGCGACUUAUAUUCUGUAGCAAGGUUAACCGAAUAGGGGAGCCGGAGGGAAACCGAGUCUUAAUUGGGCGUUAAGUUGCAGGGUAUAGACCCGAAACCCGGUGAUCUAGCCAUGGGCAGGUUGAAGGUUGGGUAACACUAACUGGAGGACCGAACCGACUAAUGUUGAAAAAUUAGCGGAUGACCUGUGGCUGGGGGUGAAAGGCCAAUCAAACCGGGAGAUAGCUGGUUCUCCCCGAAAGCUAUUUAGGUAGCGCCUCGUGAAUUCAUCUCCGGGGGUAGAGCACUGUUUCGGCUAGGGGGCCAUCCCGGCUUACCAACCCGAUGCAAACUGCGAAUACCGGAGAAUGUUAUCACGGGAGACACACGGCGGGUGCUAACGUCCGUCGUGAAGAGGGAAACAACCCAGACCGCCAGCUAAGGUCCCAAAGUCAUGGUUAAGUGGGAAACGAUGUGGGAAGGCCCAGACAGCCAGGAUGUUGGCUUAGAAGCAGCCAUCAUUUAAAGAAAGCGUAAUAGCUCACUGGUCGAGUCGGCCUGCGCGGAAGAUGUAACGGGGCUAAACCAUGCACCGAAGCUGCGGCAGCGACACUGUGUGUUGUUGGGUAGGGGAGCGUUCUGUAAGCCUGCGAAGGUGGCCUGUGAGGGUUGCUGGAGGUAUCAGAAGUGCGAAUGCUGACAUAAGUAACGAUAAAGCGGGUGAAAAGCCCGCUCGCCGGAAGACCAAGGGUUCCUGUCCAACGUUAAUCGGGGCAGGGUGAGUCGACCCCUAAGGCGAGGCCGAAAGGCGUAGUCGAUGGGAAACGGGUUAAUAUUCCCGUACUUGGUGUUACUGCGAAGGGGGGACGGAGAAGGCUAUGUUGGCCGGGCGACGGUUGUCCCGGUUUAAGCGUGUAGGUGUGUGUUCCAGGUAAAUCCGGUUCACUUUAACACUGAGGCGUGACGACGAGGCACUACGGUGCUGAAGCAACAAAUGCCCUGCUUCCAGGAAAAGCCUCUAAGCAUCAGGUAACAUCAAAUCGUACCCCAAACCGACACAGGUGGUCAGGUAGAGAAUACCAAGGCGCUUGAGAGAACUCGGGUGAAGGAACUAGGCAAAAUGGUGCCGUAACUUCGGGAGAAGGCACGCUGACACGUAGGUGAAGUGAUUUACUCAUGGAGCUGAAGUCAGUCGAAGAUACCAGCUGGCUGCAACUGUUUAUUAAAAACACAGCACUGUGCAAACACGAAAGUGGACGUAUACGGUGUGACGCCUGCCCGGUGCCGGAAGGUUAAUUGAUGGGGUCAGCGCAAGCGAAGCUCCUGAUCGAAGCCCCGGUAAACGGCGGCCGUAACUAUAACGGUCCUAAGGUAGCGAAAUUCCUUGUCGGGUAAGUUCCGACCUGCACGAAUGGCGUAAUGAUGGCCAGGCUGUCUCCACCCGAGACUCAGUGAAAUUGAACUCGCUGUGAAGAUGCAGUGUACCCGCGGCAAGACGGAAAGACCCCGUGAACCUUUACUAUAGCUUGACACUGAACAUUGAGCCUUGAUGUGUAGGAUAGGUGGGAGGCUUUGAAGUGUGGACGCCAGUCUGCAUGGAGCCGACCUUGAAAUACCACCCUUUAAUGUUUGAUGUUCUAACGUGGACCCGUUACCCGGGUUGCGGACAGUGUCUGGUGGGUAGUUUGACUGGGGCGGUCUCCUCCUAAAGAGUAACGGAGGAGCACGAAGGUUGGCUAAUCCUGGUCGGACAUCAGGAGGUUAGUGCAAUGGCAUAAGCCAGCUUGACUGCGAGCGUGACGGCGCGAGCAGGUGCGAAAGCAGGUCAUAGUGAUCCGGUGGUUCUGAAUGGAAGGGCCAUCGCUCAACGGAUAAAAGGUACUCCGGGGAUAACAGGCUGAUACCGCCCAAGAGUUCAUAUCGACGGCGGUGUUUGGCACCUCGAUGUCGGCUCAUCACAUCUGGGGCUGAAGUAGGUCCCAAGGGUAUGGCUGUUCGCCAUUUAAAGUGGUACGCGAGCUGGGUUUAGAACGUCGUGAGACAGUUCGGUCCCUAUCUGCCGUGGGCGCUGGAGAACUGAGGGGGGCUGCUCCUAGUACGAGAGGACCGGAGUGGACGCAUCACUGGUGUUCGGGUUGUCAUGCCAAUGGCACUGCCCGGUAGCUAAAUGCGGAAGAGAUAAGUGCUGAAAGCAUCUAAGCACGAAACUUGCCCCGAGAUGAGUUCUCCCUGAGACUUAAAGUCUCCUGAAGGAACGUUGAAGACGACGACGUUGAUAGGCCGGGUGUGUAAGCGCAGCGAUGCGUUGAGCUAACCGGUACUAAUGAACCGUGAGGCUUAACCUUACAACGCCGAAG
rnacentral:rRNA from 10 species